AGUAGUCAUAGUAGUCACACAUUGUAUCUUAUGUGAAGUAGGCCUACUGUUAACAGUAAAUAUAAUUUGUCAUCCCAUUUCACCAUGUAAUGUUUUGAAAUGAACAUUUUAGGCAGGUAGUAGCAGUAGUGGAGGCGGAGAAUGCAACCUAGAACAAGGAGAGUCGAGAGCAGAAUCAGAUGUGCAGAGAGAAGAGAGGGAAAAGAGCAAACCAACCAACCAAAAUCAAAAGACAGGCAAACACAGGGCCUCAGGCUGGGACCCAACAUGGGUUGACAAGCCUAGAUUCAAAACAUGGCUUUAUAACACUGAUCAUGGCAAGUAUUGUGUUGUAUUUUGCUGCUUCUUGUUGCUGCUGCCGAUAAUGCUGAAUUUACUGGAGUCCACUUGACUUAAACCUGUGUGGAUACUUUAAUAGAACAAAUUCCUUCAUUCAUUUAUGUUAGUAGCAAUAAGAAUAUCACUGCUCUUUACCUACAGGGAUGUUCUGUCGUCUAUGUCGCAAACAUAAGCAAACGUCAAAAACUGGCCAAACUAAAAGACCAUUUAUUGAAGUGGGGUGCUUCGUCUACAGGUCUGACCAUUUAGACAGGCACAUGGGGUCAGAGCACCACAAGCGGAGUGUGCAGUGUCAUGCAGCGCUCGCACAAGGUUCCUCAGUUCUCGCUGCAUUUGAGCCAAAUGUUAUUCUGGAGCAUGAGGCUGUCAUUGGUGGAUUUAAAUGCUUGUACCAUCUUGUGAAGAAAGAACAAGCACAUCACACCAACUACGCAGAUCUUCUAGAUCUUGCGGAAUUGUUGGGAUGUGAUUACUUCAAGAAGUUAAAGAUAGGGAAAAACGCCAAUUACCGUUCUCACCACAUUAUUGAUGAGAUGUUAGAGAUUUUGGCGUCAGUGGUUGAAGAGCCCAUUCUGCAGGAAAUCCAGACCAGUAUGGCUAUUGGACUGGAGCUGGAUGAAAGUACAGAUGUAUCUGUGACAAGACAAUUGGAUCUGCACAUAAGGUAUGCAGACAAAGAGGGACAGCUGUUCAGUCAGUUCCUAGACAUUGUUAGUGUCCCAGAUGGAAAGGCUGUCACAAUUGUGAGAGCUGUUAAGGAUGUGCUGCACAAAAAGGACAUUCCAACUGCCCAAUUGUAUGGCCUAGGCACAGAUGGCGCUGCUGUAAUGACUGGGAGACAGAAUGGGGUGGCAAAGCUGCUGCAGGACGACUACCCUUGGGUUGUCCAUGUUGCCUGUGCAGCUCACCGGUUGGCUCUGGCCUGCCGCGAUGCCACAAUGGGAGUGCAGUACAUGGCAACUUUUAGGGACCAUUUGCAGCAGCUCCACUUGUACUUUCACAACAGUGCGAAUAGAACUGUAGUUCUGUCAGCUGCCAGUGGCCUUUUAGGCCUGAAAGACUUGAAAGUUACGGUGAGGGAGAAAAUAAAAACACAAUGUCAACAUGGUUACAUUUGUCUACAGCAUAAAUAUGUAACCUUUAACAUUUUAAUAUAAUCAGGAAGUGAAAGACACACGGUGGCUCUCUCAGCACCUGGCCAUACAGAGCCUUCAGCGGAACCUGCCGUCUGUACUAUCCGCAUUGGCUGAGGAGGUCAAGGUGAAUAAGUGCCCUACAGCCAAGGGGCUGUAUGCGUUUUGCUCCACCUUCAGGUUUGUGGCAGCACUGCACCUCCAGGCCGAUGUGUUGCCCCACUUAGCCCGCCUGUCAAAGGUAUUCCAAA
ensembl:lncRNA